UACGUAGGGGGCAAGCGUUAUCCGGAUUCACUGGGUUUAAAGGGUGCGUAGGCGGGCAGGUAAGUCAGUGGUGAAAUCCCCGAGCUUAACUCGGGAACUGCCAUUGAUACUAUCUGUCUUGAAUAUUGUGGAGGUAAGCGGAAUAUGUCAUGUAGCGGUGAAAUGCUUAGAUAUGACAUAGAACACCUAUUGCGAAGGCAGCUUACUACGCAUAUAUUGACGCUGAGGCACGAAAGCGUGGGGAUCAAACAGG
rnacentral:rRNA from 1 species